UGACCGACGCUCUGUGACCCCCCAGCGCUCCGUCCCCGCAGACCUGGAGGACCCCACAGCCCUCGGGGACGUAGAGAGUCGCCGCGACUCUAUGGUCACCUGCGGCCCCACGGAUCAGCUGGAGCUGAAGACCCCCCGCCACCCCACGGAUUCUCUGAGUCUGGAGGUCCUCCAGAACUCUGUGUCCGACCGCCGCCCCGCAGCCCCUCGGGGACGUAGAGAGUCGCCGCGACUCUAUGGUCACCUGCGGCCCCACGGAUCAGCUGGAGCUGAAGACCCCCCGCCACCCCACGGAUUCUCUGAGUCUGGAGGUCCUCCAGAACUCUGUGUCCGACCGCCGCCCCGCAGCCCCUCUAGGCCCCAAGGCUCACCCCAACUCUAUGGUUAACUGUGACCCGACGGAACACCUUGACUUGAAGGCCCGCCACGACUCUAUGGCCAACCACGACCCAACGGCCGCUCUAGGCCUCAAGGUCCUCCACGGCUCUAUGGUCAACUGCAGCCCCGCAGCCGCUCUAGGCCUCAGUGCCCACCGUGACUCUGUGAUUAAUUGUGACCCAACGGCCGCUCUAGGCCCCAAGGUCCCCCAGAACUCUAUGAUCAACUGCAGCCCCGCGGCCACUCUAGGCCCCAAGGUUCACCAUGACUCUAUCGUUAACACCGAUCCAAUGGAACAACUUGACUUGAAGGCCCACUGUGACUCUAUGGUUAACCACGACCAAACGGCCGCUCUAGCCUCCAAGGCCCACUGUGACUCUAUGGCCAACUGCGACCCAACGGACACUCUAGGCCCCAACACCCACCACGACUCUAUGGUCAAACUCAACCAUGUGGCUCCUCUAGUCCCAAAGGCCCACUGUGACUCUAUGGCCAACCGUGACCCGACGGCCUCUCUAGGCCUCAAGGUCCUCCAGAACUCUGUGGUCAGCUGCAGCCCCAUGACCACUCUAGGACCCAGUGCUCACCGUGACUCUAUGGUUAACUGUGACCCGAUGGAACACCUUGACUUGAAGGCCUACCACAACUCUAUGGCCAACCCUGUCCCAGCGGCCGCUCUAGACCUCAUGGUCCCCCAGAACUCUAUGGUCAACGGCAGCCCCACGGCCACUCUAGGCCUGAAGACCCACCGAGACUCUAUGGUCAACCACAGCUCCAUGGCCGCUCUAGGCCCAAAGUCCCACCGCAACUCUAUGGCCAACCGUGACCCAGUGGCCACUCUAGGCCCAAAGACCCCCUACAACUCUAUGACCCACAGCAUCUCUACGGCCACUCUAGGCCCAAAGACCCCCUGCGACUCCAUGACCCACAGCAUCUCUACGGCCACUCUAGGCCCAAAGACUUCCCAUGACUCUAUGACCCACAGCAGCUCUGUGACCAACCACGACCCAGGGGCCACUCUAGGCCUGAAGACC
rnacentral:lncRNA from 1 species